rnacentral:rRNA from 1 species
GACGAACGCUAGCGGCGUGCUUAACACAUGCAAGUCGAACGGAAAGGCCCUGCUUUUGUGGGGUGCUCGAGUGGCGAACGGGUGAGUAACACGUGAGUAACCUGCCCUUGACUUUGGGAUAACUUCAGGAAACUGGGGCUAAUACCGGAUAGGAGCUCCUGCUGCAUGGUGGGGGUUGGAAAGUUUCGGCGGUUGCGGAUGGACUCGCGGCUUAUCAGCUUGUUGGUGGGGUAGUGGCUUACCAAGGCUUUGACGGGUAGCCGGCCUGAGAGGGUGACCGGCCACAUUGGGACUGAGAUACGGCCCAGACUCCUACGGGAGGCAGCAGUGGGGAAUAUUGCACAAUGGGCGGAAGCCUGAUGCAGCAACGCCGCGUGCGGGAUGACGGCCUUCGGGUUGUAAACCGCUUUCGCCUGUGACGAAGCGUGAGUGACGGUAAUGGGUAAAGAAGCACCGGCUAACUACGUG